CCUACGGGAGGCAGCAGUGAGGAAUAUUGGUCAAUGGACGAGAGUCUGAACCAGCCAAGUAGCGUGAAGGAUGACUGCCCUAUGGGUUGUAAACUUCUUUUAUGUGGGAGUAAAAUGUUCCACGUGUGGGAUUUUGUAUGUACCAUAUGAAUAAAGAUCGGCUAACUCCGUGCCAGCAGCCGCGGUAAUACGGAGGAUCCGAGCGUUAUCCGGAUUUAUUGGGUUUAAAGGGAGCGUAGGUGGAUUGUUAAGUCAGUUGUGAAAGGUUGCGGCUCAACCGUAAAAUUGCAGUUGAUACUGGCAGUCUUGAGUACAGUAGAGGUGGGCGGAAUUCGUGGUGUAGCGGUGAAAUGCUUAGAUAUCACGAAGAACUCCGAUUGCGAAGGCAGCUCACUGGACUGAAACUGACACUGAGGCUCGAAAGUGUGGGUAUCAAACAGGAUUAGAUACCCUAGUAGUC
rnacentral:rRNA from 1 species